rnacentral:tRNA from 1 species
GCCACCCUAGCUCAGUGGUAGAGCAGCUCACUCGUAAUGAGCAGGUCGUCGGUUCAAAUCCGACGGGUGGCU